GCUACGUAUGGAUUAGAUAAUCGCUGAAAGCAUCUAAGUGAGAAACUAACCUCGAGAUGAGAUUUCCCAUUCGUCAGAAGUAAGACCCCUGAGAGACGAUCAGGUAGAUAGGCUAGAAGUGGAAGUGUAGUGAUGCAUGGAGCGGACUAGUACUAAUAGGUCGAGGACUUAACCAAG
rnacentral:rRNA from 1 species